rnacentral:rRNA from 1 species
UUAAACGUCCGUACCACGUUGAAUAGACCGGUUCUCGCCCAAACACCGAAGUUAAGCAACGUCGGGUGCGAUCAGUACUUCGAUGGGUGACCGCUUGGGAACACCGCGCGACGUUGGCU